UAAAAAAUUUUGGCGGUAUUUUAAGCUUAUUAGAGGAAUUUGCUCUGUGAUGGACACAACGCCUUAAUCUUACUUAAUUUAGUAAUUUAAAUCAGUUUGUAUACCACUAUAUUAAUUAUAUUGAAUAGUUAUAUUUAAAAUUUUUUUAAAAAAAUAUAUUAAGUCAAGGUGCAUCUAAUAAUUAUGAAUGAAGUGAAUUACAUUAAUUUUAAUGUAAUUUUUUACAUGAAAAAAUUAAUUAGGAUUUAAUAGUAAAAUACUAAUAUUAUGAGUAUUUGAAUCAAGCUCUAAAAUAUGCACAUAUCGCCCGUCGCUCUCAGAAGUGAGAUAAGUCGUAACAAAGUAAAAAUACUGGAAAGUGUUUUUUAAAAUGAAAUCCUUUGAUGUUUCAUUUACAAUGAAAAUUUUGUUGUUUAACCAUUUUAA
rnacentral:rRNA from 1 species